ensembl:miRNA
CUGGCUGGGGAAAAUGAUUGGAUAGAAAAUAUUUUCUAUUCAUUUAAUCCCCAGCCUACAAAUGAAAG